CAGUAGCCGCGGUAACACGGAGGGUGCAAGCGUUAAUCGGAAUUACUGGGCGUAAAGCGCACGCAGGCGGUCUGACAAGUCAGAUGUGAAAUCCCCGGGCUUAACCUGGGAACUGCAUUUGAAACUGUCAGGCUGGAGUCUUGUAGAGGGGGGUAGAAUUCCAGGUGUAGCGGUGAAAUGCGUAGAGAUCUGGAGGAAUACCGGUGGCGAAGGCGGCCCCCUGGACAAAGACUGACGCUCAGGUGCGAAAGCGUGGGGAGCAAACAGGAUUAGAUACCCCAGUAGUCCCUGUCUCUUAUAC
rnacentral:rRNA from 1 species